GGAAUCCCUAGUAAUCGCGCGUCAUCAACGCGCGGUGAAUACGUCCCCGCUCCUUGCACACACCGCCCGUCGCUCCAUCCGAGUGGGGCCUAGAUGAGGCGUAGUCGUGUUGGCUGCGUCGAAUCUAGGCUCCGCGAGGAGGGAGAAGUCGUAACAAGGUGGCCGUAGGGGAACCUGCGGCCGGAUCACCUCCUAA
rnacentral:rRNA from 1 species